CAGGGAAGUUAUCGUUUAGAGAUGAUCUUGCGUACCAUUAGCUUGUUGGCGGGGUAACGGCCCACCAAGGCUUUGAUGGUUAGCCGGCCUGAGAGGGCGAUCGGCCACAAUGGGACUGAGAUACGGCCCAUACUCCUACGGGAGGCAGCAGUAGGGAAUUUUGCGCAAUGGACGAAAGUCUGACGCAGCGACGCCGCGUGAGCGAUGAAGGUCUUCGGAUUGUAAAGCUCUGUUGAGUGGGAAGAACGGUUUCGUAUAUAAUACAUACGAGACGUGACCGUACCAUUCGAGUAAGCACCGGCCAACUACGUGCCAGCAGCCGCGGUAAUACGUAGGGUGCAAGCGUUGUUCGGAAUUACUGGGUGUAAAGGGAGAGUAGGCGGGUUGGUAAGUUAGAAGUGAAAAGCCCAGGCUUAACCUGGGACCUGCUUUUAAUACUGCCAGUCUUGAGUAUGGGAGAGGAAGAUGGAAUUCCAGGUGUAGCGGUGGAAUGCGUAGAUAUCUGGAAGAACACCAGUUGCGUAGGCGGUCUUCUGGCCCAAUACUGACGCUGAGGCUCGAAAGCUAGGGGAGCAAACAGGAUUAGAUACCCUGGUAGUCCUAGCCCUAAACCAUGUACACUAGAUGUUGGGGGAGUCAAUCCUUUCAGUAUCGUAGUUAACGCGUUAAGUGUACCACCUGGGGAGUACGCUCGCAAGGGUGAAACUCAAAGGAAUUGACGGGGGCCCGCACAAGCGGUGGAGUAUGUGCUUUAAUUCGAUGCAACGCGAAGAACCUUACCUGGGCUUGACAUGGGGAUGAAAGGUUCCAGAGAUGGAAUCCCUUCCGCAAGGAACAUCCUACACAGGUGCUGCAUGGCUGUCGUCAGCUCGUGUCGUGAGAUGUUGGGUUAAGUCCCGCAACGAGCGCAACCCCCGUCCUUAGUUGCCAUCAGGUAAAGCUGGGAACUCUAAGGAGACUGCCUAGAAUAACUAGGAGGAAGGUGGGGAUGACGUCAAGUCAUCAUGGCUCUUACGUCCAGGGCCAGACACGUACUACAAUGGCCGGUACAAUGGGCUGCUACGUCGUAAGGCGAGGCUAAUCCCUUAAAACCGGUCUCAGUUCGGAUUGAGGUCUGCAAUUCGACCUCAUGAAGCUGGAAUCGCUAGUAAUCGCGGAUCAGCAUGCCGCGGUGAAUACGUUCCCGGGCCUUGUACACACCGCCCGUCAAGCCAUGAAAGGUGGGAGUACCCAAAGUCAUUUUUCCAACCCGCAAGGGAGGAGAAUGCCUAAGGUAAGACCACUGAUUGGGGCUAAGUCGGAACAAGGUA
rnacentral:rRNA from 1 species